AGUGGGGUGAGUAGAAGAAGACUACUCAUUCAACCUGGGUAUAUUUUAAAAAAAACAAACUAAUAAAUGGCAAAACUGUGACUUUUAACAACAACUGGACGACAAAGUAUGAAUAUUCUACCGACUGCUCAAGUCAUUGUUUCCUGUCGGAGCCUUUAAGCCACGGACACAUUGAUCCAGACAACAUCAACAAUGGCAGACAUGCCGGCGUGUCAACUCGGUCAAACAUUUAACAAGAGCAAGAAUUCUACUGAUUUUGACUCAUAUCUGACAAGAAAGAAGUGAACGCUGAGGAGCAAAGGCUGGCCCUUUUUUCGUCCGCCUACGCUUCCGGCCAAGGAAAUGACCGCCAUUACAGGCUGCACUUGAACGAUCAGCACAGCAGGGACACUCCUUGCCAGCAGGGGGCAGCACCUUGUGAUUGUCACUGCUGGGAAAAAGAAGAAGUUUGUAGCUUCUCAAACAAAUCUAAGAAAGGCCAUUUUGUUUGACUACUUGAUUAGAAAAGUUCAAAUAAUGGAUUUUCUCCGUGGAUGAAGAUGUUUUCCUACAUCCAGGUCAGUGUAUUUUCUUCAUAUUUUUUUUGGGACUGGAUUCACAGUCCCUUUUCUCUGUUUGUAGUUUUUCAACAAAG